GGUGGGGGAACAACUACAACAGGAGCCGUUCUGGGUCGCUUGUUAGCAUGACUCUGAUUGAUCUACUUCCUCUUCUAUUAGUGUUGUGCUCUAACAUUAUGAAUGUGCCAAUAACGGGCUCCAAAAAAUUCCUUGGCCAAUUGGGCAUGCUCGAGGGCUUUAGCGUAGGUGUUUGGCCUCAUCAUGGCCACUCAGUUGAAGAUGUCUACCCUAAAACCCUUAAGAAACUUUCGGGCCUUCUUGUUUUCGUAGCUAUGAUCUCUAAGGAAAAUCUAGACAACUGAAUGAACUUAGCGGCAUAUUGGCUCACAGUCAUGUUUCCCUAUCACAGGUCCAUAAAUUCUUCUUCUCUAUUCUAUCGAGCACAAACUAAAAAGAAGUUAUUGAGGAAGACAUCAAUAAAUUGGUACUAAGUAGUUGGAGUAUGUAGGGUGACCUUCCCGAGACACCACUAGUGCUUGGCCUCUUUGGUAAACAUGAAAGCUGCAAGGGAAACCUUCUACUCUUUAGUGAGCUCGAUAACGAAGAAAAACUUCUCUAUUUGCGUUAUCCAUGUUU
rnacentral:lncRNA from 1 species